rnacentral:misc_RNA from 1 species
ACACCUCAACUCUCAUGGUUCGCCGUGAUGAGCUUGGACUUUGGGGGUCUUGCCGGCAUACCGUCGGCUCCUCUCAAAUGAAUCAGCUUCCCAGUGUUUGGUGGAAUCACGGGUGUGAUAAAUAUCUACGCUCGUGGUCUCCCACCAGGUAACCUUCAGCAAUGGAGGUUCGCUGGAGCUCACAAAUGUCUCUCCUCAGCGAAGACAGCUUUUUGAAC